CUUGUUCUCCUUGUCACACGUCAAAGUGCUAGAGGCAGAGAUGAGACUUCACCAUGAUGUUCCUCACCCAACAAUUCUGUAAUGGUCGAGCUGGGGUCACCAAAACCCUUGGGGUCAGAGUCUUCUUUGGAUUGAAGAGCUCUUUGGUGCCAUUAUGAGCAACUGAGGAAAGAAAGAGGACUACAGUCAGCAGAUAUCCUGGGAAGAAGGGAGGACAGUGACAAGAACCAGCAUCUUAUAGCCUGGCUGCCAGGAAGCCAGCCCUAGAGAAUGACGUUCAGGACAAAACACAACCCAUGUUCCACUUGGCACCAAGUCCUCACUGUUUUCCUCUCUGCCCCCAUCUUCCACCUUUGGGUCAUGAAGCAAGUGGUUUUGUUCGGACGCGCACACCCACUAUGAUGUACUGCCUCCUCAUAGAUCCAAAGCAAUGGGUCCCCUGCUCACAGACCGCAGUCGUGAGCCAAGAGAAACCUCUGCUCAUUCUCAGUUGGUCACUCAAGUAUCUGGUGUCAUGAUGGCAGCUGACUCACCUAGAGACCCCCUCUUGAAAGAGCCCACGCAGAGGCGGGGAUAUACACCUGAAAUCAUGUCUAGUCAACUUGCAAUACCCAACAGAAUGUAAAUGUUAUGCAAACAGUUGCUUACUACAUUGUUUAGAGAAUAAGGACAAGAGAAACGUCUAUACAUACUUGGUACAAAUGUAAUUUUUGUUCAAAUAUUUUAGAUCUCUGGCCAGUCGAAUACACAGAUGUGGAGCCAGUGGACACUGGGGGCCAACUGUACAUCCACGUGGAUUCUGCCCCUCAACGAAGCAUUUGCACGAUUCAUAUAGCGUGGGUGUUUGUUUUUCAAUGCUGAAUAACAAAUGGCCACAAGCUUAUGAGCUUAAGAUGCUAGUGUUUAUUAUUUCAUGGCCUGUGGGUUAGCGGUCUGUAUGGUUCUGCUCUUUUCUGCUCUCAGGGUCUCACAAAACUAAAAUCAAGGUGCUGCCUCCAGGCUGUCUUCCCCUCGGGUUUGGGGUCAUCGUCCAAUCUCAGGUGGCUGUGGUAGGAGUCUGUCAUUGGUGGUUGUAGG